rnacentral:rRNA from 1 species
AGCGAACGCUGGCGGCAGGCUUAACACAUGCAAGUCGAGCGGGCGUAGCAAUACGUCAGCGGCAGACGGGUGAGUAACGCGUGGGAACGUACCUUUUGGUUCGGAACAACACAGGGAAACUUGUGCUAAUACCGGAUAAGCCCUUACGGGGAAAGAUUUAUCGCCGAAAGAUCGGCCCGCGUCUGAUUAGCUAGUUGGUGAGGUAACGGCUCACCAAGGCGACGAUCAGUAGCUGGUCUGAGAGGAUGAUCAGCCACAUUGGGACUGAGACACGGCCCAAACUCCUACGGGAGGCAGCAGUGGGGAAUAUUGGACAAUGGGCGCAAGCCUGAUCCAGCCAUGCCGCGUGAGUGAUGAAGGCCCUAGGGUUGUAAGCUCUUUGUGCGGGAAGAUAAUGACGGUACCGCAAGAAUAACGCCCCCGGCUAACUUCGUGCCAGCAGCCGC